rnacentral:rRNA from 1 species
GAUUGAACGCUGGCGGCAUGCCUUACACAUGCAAGUCGAACGGCAGCGGGGGUAGC